rnacentral:rRNA from 1 species
GAUGAACGCUGGCGGCGUGCCUAAUACAUGCAAGUCGAGCGAACGGACGAGAAGCUUGCUUCUCUGAUGUUAGCGGCGGACGUGUGAGUAACACGUGUAUAACCUACCUAUAAGACUGGUAUAACUUCGGGAAACCUGAUCUAAUACCGGAUAAUAUUUUGAACCGCAUGGUUCAAAAGUGAAAGUCGGUCUUUCUGUCACUUAUAGAUGGAUCCGCGCUGCAUUAGCUAGUUGGUAAGGUAACGGCUUACCAAGGCAACGAUGCAUAGCCGACCUGAGAGGGUGAUCGGCCACACUGGAACUGAGACACGGUCCAGACUCCUACGGGAGGCAGCAGUAGGGAAUCUUCCGCAAUGGGCGAAAGCAUGACGGAGCAACGCCGCGUGAGUGAUGAAGGUCUUCGGAUCGUAAAACUCUGUUAUUAGGGAAGAACAUAUGUGUAAGUAAAUGUGCACAUAUUGACGGUAACUAAUCAGAAAGCCACGGCUAACUACGUG